rnacentral:rRNA from 1 species
GAGUUUGAUCAUGGCUCAGAUUGAACGCUGGCGGCAGGCCUAACACAUGCAAGUCGAGCGGUAGAGAGAAGCUUGCUUCUCUUGAGAGCGGCGGACGGGUGAGUAAUGCCUAGGAAUCUGCCUGGUAGUGGGGGAUAACGCUCGGAAACGGACGCUAAUACCGCAUACGUCCUACGGGAGAAAGCAGGGGACCUUCGGGCCUUGCGCUAUCAGAUGAGCCUAGGUCGGAUUAGCUAGUUGGUGAGGUAAUGGCUCACCAAGGCGACGAUCCGUAACUGGUCUGAGAGGAUGAUCAGUCACACUGGAACUGAGACACGGUCCAGACUCCUACGGGAGGCAGCAGUGGGGAAUAUUGGACAAUGGGCGAAAGCCUGAUCCAGCCAUGCCGCGUGUGUGAAGAAGGUCUUCGGAUUGUAAAGCACUUUAAGUUGGGAGGAAGGGCAGUAAAUUAAUACUUUAGCUGUUUUGACGUUACCGACAGAAUAAGCACCGGCUAACUCU